GAAUAUUGGUCAAUGGGCGCAAGCCUGAACCAGCCAUGCCGCGUGCAGGAAGAAUGCCCUAUGGGUUGUAAACUGCUUUUAUUUGGGAAUAAACCUCUUUACGUGUAGAGAGCUGAAGGUACCAAAUGAAUAAGCACCGGCUAACUCCGUGCCAGCAGCCGCGGUAAUACGGAGGGUGCAAGCGUUAUCCGGAAUCAUUGGGUUUAAAGGGUCCGCAGGCGGGCAUAUAAGUCAGUGGUGAAAGCCUACAGCUUAACUGUAGAACUGCCAUUGAUACUGUGUGUCUUGAAUUCGGUCGAAGUGGGCGGAAUGUGUAGUGUAGCGGUGAAAUGCUUAGAUAUUACACAGAACACCGAUAGCGAAGGCAGCUCACUAGGCCUGAAUUGACGCUCAUGGACGAAAGCGUGGGGAGCAAACAGGAUUAGAUACCCGGGUAGUC
rnacentral:rRNA from 1 species